CAUCAACAAGGCAUGCCGGGUUCAUAUUUUUACCACAUUUAGCAUCUCAGAUGUAGUGCCUGGCCAAAAUUAGGGCCAUAUCAUUCUAACACAUAUGCAUUCCCAGAUGAUAGGAUGUCCAGCAGUGCUGCAGAUGAGGUUGUAUAAGAAUGGGCGUCUUAGAUGUAAAUUUGUCCUUUAUGACCGGUUACAAAGCCUGGCAGGAGACCUGACUGAUGUAGGAAAAUUGUGUUACGUACAGUGACUUAAAAUGUCUGUAUUUUAUUUAUUCAAACUGAAAAUUUUAUUGUAUUUACAAACAUAAGAGAAAAUAAGCAAUACAAAGGAAAAUAAAAAAGGAAUACUAGGUUGACCAUGAUAUUUUAUGAAAUAAAUUGACAUCAGAAUACAUAGGUUGGGGGCGGAGACUGGCCCCGAGACGGGAUGGACACCAUUUCUGAGAGCUCCUUCCUGGCAAUCCAAAUCUGCCGAAAAUUUUACACAAAAAGACCCCAUCCAACCCUGAACGUAGCGGGUACGGAUCAGGGACACCCGGCAGCAUCAAAAGAUGCCUUUUCAAUAC